CCUACGGGGGGCAGCAGUCGAGAAUCAUUCACAAUGGGGGAAACCCUGAUGCUGCGACGCCGCGUGGGGGAAUGAAGGUCUUCGGAUUUUAAACCCCUGUCAUGUGGGAGCAAAUUAAAAAGAUAGUACCACAAGAGGAAGAGACGGCUAACUCUGUGCCAGCAGCCGCGGUAAUACAGAGGUCUCAAGCGUUGUUCGGAAUCACUGGGCGUAAAGCGUGCGUAGGCUGUUUCGUAAGUCGUGUGUGAAAGGCGCGGGCUCAACCCGCGGACGGCACAUGAUACUGCGAGACUAGAGUAAUGGAGGGGGAACCGGAAUUCUCGGUGUAGCAGUGAAAUGCGUAGAUAUCGAGAGGAACACUCGUGGCGAAGGCGGGUUCCUGGACAUUAACUGACGCUGAGGCACGAAGGCCAGGGGAGCGAAAGGGAUUAGAUACCCUGGUAGUC
rnacentral:rRNA from 1 species